rnacentral:rRNA from 1 species
GGUACAACGAGUCGCAAGCUCGCGAGAGUAAGCUAAUCUCUUAAAACCGUUCUCAGUUCGGACUGUAGGCUGCAACUCGCCUACACGAAGUCGGAAUCGCUAGUAAUCGCGGAUCAGCAUGCCGCGGUGAAUACGUUCCCGGGCCUUGUACACACCGCCCGUCACACCAUGGGAGUUUGUAACGCCCAAAGUCGGUGGCCUAACCUUUAUGGAGGGAGCCGCCUAAGGCGGGACAGAUGACUGGGGUGAAGUCGUAACAAGGUAAC